rnacentral:rRNA from 1 species
GACGAACGCUGGCGGCGUGCUUAACACAUGCAAGUCGAGCGGUAAGGCCCUUUGGGGUACACGAGCGGCGAACGGGUGAGUAACACGUGAGUAAUCUGCCUUUGGCUUGGGAAUAACUUCGGGAAAUCGGGGCUAAUGCCUGAUGUUUACUGUCUGCUGCAUGGUGGGUGGUGGAAAGUAUUUUUUGGCCAGGGAUGAGCUCGCGGUCUAUCAGCUUGUUGGUGGGGUAAUGGCUACCAAGGCUUGACGGGUAGCCGGCCUGAGAGGGUGUUCGGCCACACUGGGACUGAGACACGGCCCA